UACGGGGGGGGCUAGCGUUGUUCGGAAUUACUGGGCGUAAAGGGCGCGUAGGCGGCCUACUAAGUCGGACGUGAAAUCCCUCAGCUUAACUGGGGAACUGCGUCUGAUACUGGAUGGCUUGAGUUUGGGAGAGGGAUGCGGAAUUCCUGGUGUAGCGGUGAAAUGCGCAGAUAUCAGGAGGAACACCGGUGGCGAAGGCGGGUCUCUGGGCCGAUACUGACGCUGAGGAGCGAAAGCGUGGGGAGCGAACAGG
rnacentral:rRNA from 1 species